ACACAGGCUUCUUUAGAAGCCACUACAUCAAUAACUUACCAUAGUC
rfam:Mesitornis unicolor contig5981, whole genome shotgun sequence.